UGCCAGCAGCCGCGGUUAAACCAAGAAAUUAAGUCAUAUUUAUACGGUAAAAAGAUAGUUAGAUAUUAAAAAGUAAAGUUUUUGAAUGGUUUAUGAAGAAGUAAAAUUUAAACAUAAACUUUUAAACCAAUUAUAACUUGUAUAAAUCGAAUCUAUAAAAAUCUUGAGGGAAACUGGGAUUAGAUACCCCAUUAUUCUUGAUUAUAAAAAAAUAAAAUUUACCAGAGUACUACGAAUAAAACCAAAAAUUUAAAACUCAAAGGGCUUGGCGGUGUCUUAGACCACUUAGGGGAACCUGUCUCAUAAUCGAUAAUCCACGUUAGACCUAACCUUUUUUUGCAUCCAGUUUGUAUACCGUUGUCGUCAGGUAACUUUUAAAAAGACAUAAGUUAGCUAUAAACAUUAAAUUAAGACGUCAGAUCAAGGUGCAGCUUAUAAAAAGGAGAAGAUGGGUUACAAUUAAUAUUUAUAACUACGGAUAAUUUAUUUGUAAUAAGUAAUUUGAAGGCGGACUUAAAAGUAAACUGAACUAUAAAAAUAUUUUGAAUAAGGCUCUGAGAUGUGCACACAUCGCCCGUCACUCU
rnacentral:rRNA from 1 species